GAUGAACGCUGGCGGCGUGCCUAAUACAUGCAAGUCGAGCGAACGGACGAGAAGCUUGCUUCUCUGAUGUUAGCGGCGGGCGGGUGAGUAACACGUGGAUAACCUACCUAUAAGACUGGGAUAACUUCGGGAAACCGGAGCUAAUACCGGAUGAUAUUUUGAACCGCAUGGUUCAAAAGUGAAAGACGGUCUUGCUGUCACUUAUAGAUGGAUCCGCGCUGCAUUAGCUAGUUGGUAAGGUAACGGCUUACCAAGGAAACGAUGCAUAGCCGACCUGAGAGGGUGAUCGGCCACACUGGAACUGAGACACGGUCCAGACUCCUACGGGAGGCAGCAGUAGGGAAUCUUCCGCAAUGGGCGAAAGCCUGACGGAGCAACGCCGCGUGAGUGAUGAAGGUCUUCGGAUCGUAAAACUCUGUUAUUAGGGAAGAACAUAUGUGUAAGUAACUGUGCACAUCUUGACGGUACCUAAUCAGAAAGCCACGGCUAACUACGUG
rnacentral:rRNA from 1 species